rnacentral:rRNA from 1 species
AUGUCGGGCCGCGGCAAGGGAGGCAAGGGGCUGGGCAAGGGCGGCGCCAAGCGCCACCGGAAGGUGCUGCGCGACAACAUCCAGGGCAUCACCAAGCCGGCGAUCCGCCGUCUUGCGCGGCGUGGCGGCGUGAAGCGCAUCUCGGGGCUCAUCUACGAGGAGACCCGCGGCGUGCUCAAGAUCUUCCUCGAGAACGUCAUCCGCGACGCCGUCACCUACACCGAGCACGCCCGCCGCAAGACCGUCACCGCCAUGGACGUCGUCUACGCGCUCAAGCGCCAGGGCCGCACCCUCUACGGAUUCGGCGGCUAG